rnacentral:lncRNA from 1 species
AAUAGUUCAAGGAGCCCAAGGAGGGAAGGACCGGAUGUACUCUGCAAUCCCAGAAAACUCAAUGGGCUGAGGCAGGAGGACCUACUGGCCAUUGAAGACUGUCCACUCCUGGUCCAGAUUCCAAGUGACCAGGCAGAAAGAGCAUGGACUUUGGAGUUUGAUUGCCUGGCUUUAAAUCCCCCUGCUCCACUCGCUACUGUGGUGUGGACUCAAACUUGAGGUACAGUCAUCCUAUGAAGGAUCAGAGCUGGAAAGUGGGGGCCUGGCUCAGGGAGCAGCAGAACCAGAGCAGAAGCUGAGCUGGAGAUGCCCUGAUGGGGCCGAGGUGGAGGCUCAGGCCUGGGAUGGGCAGUUGGACCAGCAGGUCCAAAACAGCAGAAGCCAAGGCAGGCAGCGGUCUUGGAGAUGCCCUCUGACCUGCCGUGGACUGGAGCCUCUAAGAUGCUUCCUCCUGAGGCUGGAGCUGAUGACUGGCAUCCUUGGGAUGUAACCUGCGUGCAGCCGGCAGAUUCAACAAAUAUUCAUGCUGGAAUGGGAUGCAGAAGUCACCUACUUUCAGAGAUGGGGAAACUGAGACCCAGAGAGGGCACAGCCUUUUCUCGGGGGCCUCCAGUGACUCAGAGUCAAAUCUGUGCUUCUUGGCUCCUGGAUCUCUGAGCUGCACCCACUGGACCCCUAUGCCAACCCCAGCACCCCUGUUCUCCAUGGCGGCCCCGCCCUGAGGAUUUCCUAUGCCUUUCUACAGAGCUUUCUCCUUCUCCUAGAUCCCUUUUCUGCAAAACGAGGCUGGGGAGUUCUGAGCCAAGCCCAGGCCCACGUGCCUGGAACCAGAGACAGCGUAAGGAGCAGACACUGCCAGGUCACUUGCAGCAGACUCCAGGAGGAAAUGAGGGAAACAGAACCUCAGCCGUAGCCUAGCCAGGGCUCUCAGAGCCUAGAAAGCUCUUAGGAGAAGUGGAGAGUUGUUCAGAUCCAGGCUAAUUUGUCAUCUCCAGCCCUUCUCUGGUGAUCAGCUUGCCUCUUCCUCUACCUGCCCCUAUAGGUAGAGGAAGCUUGCCCUUCCUCUCCUGCAUCUUCUCCUCCCCUUUCUGUCACAUGCCUUCUGCUUCUUGAGGCCUCUGCCUCAUUGUAGUUUCUCUUGCUGUCCAGUUCCGGUGAGCUCAUGGCUUCUGUAGCCCAGUUUCUCUUUGCUUCCCUUUGUGAAUCUUUCCUGCUUCGACUCUCACUCCCAACUUCUUAACUUACACUCAAUGCUCCCAGAGGGAGGACUUGAUUGGUUUGGAAGUCCCCCACCAGGACAGGCCAAGGAUUAAGUGAGUUCUUAUAUGAGGUCUCUGAUUCCCUAACUCCAGCUAGGUGUUCAAUUAUUCAGUUCAAUUCUGACACCAACUCCAGGAGUUAGUGCAGACCCCAAGGUUUAGGGCUCAGCCCCACAGGGCUGUCCCCCUUUAGCCACCAGUCACACACAAGUCCAGGGACCAUCUGUACAUCUGACUGCCUGGCUCUGAAUUUCAGGGUUCCCAUAACCUCCCCUUCUAGUUAGAUCAUUCACUAGAACAAUUCACAAAACUCAGCAAGUGCUUUACUUACUAUUACCAGUGGAUUAUAAAGGAUACUACUCAAGAACAGACUCAUGGAAGAGAUGCAGGGAACAAAACAUGGGGGAUUUGCACAAAGCUUCCACGCCCUCCCAGCGAGUCCCUGUGUUCACCAGCCCUGAAGCUCCCAAACCCUGUUGUUUAGGGGUUUUUCUUGCAGUUUCAUUAUGAUGGAUUAAAUCAUUGGCCAUUGGCGAUUGAAUUCAAUCUCCAGCCCAUCUUACCCCCAUGGAGGCUGUAGGGGGUGUGGGGGUAACCAGCCCUCAUCAUGAAGCUCUCUAGGGCUCCUCCAUAAGUCAUCUCAUUAGCAUAUGAAAGGCAAUACGUUCAGGGGUUUUAGGAGCUCUGUGCCAGGAAUUAGAGACCAAGACCAAAUAUUUAUAUUUUAUACCACACCAGGCCACUUCUCAGCCCACUGGCCAACUUCAAGAUUGACUGCUGUUAGGUCACAAUACCCACUUGGCCAGGGGUAGAGAUCACUCAGUAUCAUGUGUGGUGUAAGCUGUUGAGAUUAGGCAUAGACAGUGGCAGGUGACUGACGGGCUGGACAACUGACAGAUGCUCACCUUGGCCAGUGUAGGCACAGAUAGGGCAGGACCCCAUUUGUUUAAGUGUUCCAUCCUCAGAAAUCCCCUCUCCCCCACUUCUUCCUUCUCUUCAUUCCUUCUUUGCUAUUUUUAAAUGGCACAUUGGAAAUAAAACAAUUGUCAAUGUAUUCAGCCCUCCCGCAGCGGGCUGCCAAUCAGCACAGUCCAGCCUACCUCCGCUUCCAUUCCCUCCACCUUAGCCCUCACCUCCCUCUUUGCUCUUGCCCCCGUCUCCGGGCACUCAGGUCUCUGUUAGUUUCUCAACAGCUUUGCAUAUGCUGUUCCCUCUAUUUGGAAUGCUCUUCCCCAUCUCCCACCCCUGGCUGGCUUUUCCUGGCCACCCACUCUGAAUGAUGCGCUCCUCUUACAUAUGUGCCCUGUGUGUUUCUUUACUGAUACUUGUCAGCCUGCUGAUCGACUUAUUUGCACAAACAUUUAAUAAAUCACUGGACCGUCUGCUGUAGGCGGGCAGAGAUCAGAUCUGUUUUGUCUUGCUCAGUACUGUGCAAUAACACCUAGAACAGGCCUGGCUUGGUAGAUAGCUAUUGAAUAAGUGAGUGAAUGGAUGAAUGUCAUUGAAUCAGAGAUGAUUAUGAUUCACAAAGGCUUAUAUGUAUGAGUGAAUUUGAAAAAAUAGAAACAACUUGAAUAUUCAAUAAUAGCCAAUUAAAAAUAUAGUAACCUACAAUGGAAUUUGCAUGGCAAUUAAAAUCAUAAUUUAAAAGCAUAUCCAUGACCAACAGCAUUAGUCGUUAGGCAAAUGCAAAUCAAAACCAUGAUGAAUUGCCACUUUACACUCACUAGGAUGGCUGUAACUUUUAAAAAAGGGAAAAUAACUGUUUUUGGUGAGGAUGUGGAGAAAUUGGAAGUGGAUGUGGAAUCUGGCAGUUCCUCAAAAAACUAAACAUAGAUUUACCAUAGGGGCCGGGCACGGUGGCUCAUGUUUGUAAUCCCAGCACUUUGGGAGUUAUGAGGCAGGUGGAUCACCUGAGGUCAGGAGUUCAAGACCAGCCUGACCAAGAUGGUGAAACCCCAUCUCUACUAAAAAUACAAAAAUUAGCCAGGUGUGUUGGCACGUGCCCAUAAUCCCAGCUACUCAGGAGGCUGAGGCAGGAGAAUUGCUUGAACCCGGGAGGCAGAGGUUGCAAUGAGCCAAGAUAGCGCCACUGCACUCCAGCCUGUGCAACAGAGCCGGACUCCGUCUCAAAAAGAGAAAAAAAUAAAAAAUAUUGACCACAGGACUCAGAAAUUUCACUCCGAGGUAUAGAUCCAAGAGAAGUGGAAAUAUAUUCACGCAAAAACCUGUAAAUGAAUGCUCACAGCACAUGAUUAAUAAUUUUCAAAGAGUAGAAAAAACUCAAAUGUUGAUCAACUGCUAAAGGGAUACACAAAAUGUGAUCUGUCUAAACAGUGGAGUAUUAUUUAGCCAUAAAAAAGAAUGAAGUACUGAUUUAUGCUACAACUUGAAAUGUUUAACCUUGAAAGUAUUAUGCCAAAUGAAAGAAGCCAGUUACAAAUAGUCAAAUGUUGUAGAAUUCCAAUUAUAUAACCUAUCCAGGUGCCAAAUGCAGACAGAUAGAAAGCAGAUUCGUUGCCAGGAAAUGAGGGGAAGGGGAGUUGGGGAUUGGCUAGUAUUAGGUCAGUGCAGAAGUAAUUGCGGUUUUGGCCACUUAAAAUAAAAAACGUCAAAAACUGCAAUUACUUUUGCACCGACCUGUUAAUAGGUAUAAGAUUUCUUUUGGGGAUGAUAGAAAUGUUCUAGAAUUAGGUAGUGGUGAUAGUUGUACAACAUAGUAUACUAAAAGCCACUGAAUUGUACAAUUUAUUUAUUUAUUUAUUGUGACAGAAUCUCACUCUGUUGCCCAGACUGGAGUGCAGUGGCACCAUCUUGGUUCACUGCAACCUCUGCCUCCUGGAUUCAAGUGAUUCUUUCUGCCUCAGUCUCCUGAGUAGCUGGGAUUACAGGCGCCCACCAUCAUGCCUAGCUAAUGGCUAAUUUUUAUAUUUUUAGUACAGACGAGGUUUCACCAUGUUGGCCAGGCUGGUCUCGAACUCCUGACCUCAGGUGAUCCACCCGCUGUGGCCUCCCAAAGUGCUGGAAUUACAGGCGUGAGCCACCGUGCCAGGCCUGAAUUGUACACUUUAAAGUAGUGAGUUUUACGUUAUGUGAAUUGUAUCUCAAAAAAUAAAUUAAAAGUAUGUGCAAUGAGAGAAGACGGUGUUCAUGGUUUAUUAAAGGGAAACCACAAGGUUACAUAACUUAGCUGCAAUAUCUACCAUACUCUAUACAUACGAGAAUUCCUAAAAAGUAACAGUAUUAGAAUAUGUGUGUGUGUGUGUGUGUGUGUGUGUGCGUAGCAGAUACAGAUGCAACCACAAACUGAGACACGUAAGAAAUGUCAUGUUUGUCUCAAUUUUAAAAUGACCUGAGAAAGAACUCUUCUGUGCACUCGCUUUAACCCUCUUUCUUCCUUACUACUCAAACCUUCGCUAGGUUGAAACUGCAGCCUGGAGAAUGGGAUUGGAGGUGAGAAGAAACUGACAUUCUGUCUAUUUCUAGACCAGAAAAUUCUGCACUGGUCUAGAAAUAGACAUGAUUGCCUUGGACUGUGUUUGCAAUUUAAAGGAAUUGUCAUUACUAAGACAGCAAAAAAGUCGCCCCCCCCAACCCUUCCUGGAGUUGUCCCACUGACUACAUUUUAAAGAGAUAAUGGAAC